UGUUUUCAUAGAAACGAUUAGUCGAAAUCUACCUUUCGUUUCCACUGUGGCUGGAAAGCGUUUUUUUUGCCCCACGACAUUGAUGAAUAAGAUUGAUCUCUUCAGUAAACGUUUAAUUACCUUUAGGGUAUUUUCCGUAAAACUAUCCUAAAUUCCGAAAGUUUUAAACCAUUUUAUGCCUGUAAAUUACAACGAAAUCGUCCACUCAAAGUCUGAAACACUGUACUGGACAUCGGACGUUCUCGCACCAGCCGAUAAGAAACAGUUCCGUUAUUGACAAUAACUUCGUUUCGCCCAACGUCACUCGUAUCUCCCUCCUCACCGUUCAGUAAAACGAAAAAUUCGGCGUUCAGUUUCACAUUUUGCGAGUUUUUCAAUGGGUGCCCGAUUAGAUCAUUGAGAAUCGAAGUCUGAAAUUUGGUUAUCAAGUUGUAUGCGCGAUCCGGUCGCCUCACCACGUCCCCCGAUGGCUCGAUCCACAUCGCCUGCAACGAUGCAGGGGUUGAAUUCCUCGCGGUGGAUAACACGGGCGUCUCUGUAGACGAAAUUUGUGCCCUGGCGAUGUCCCCGAUUCUGCCAAAGACCUGUUCACUUACGACAAGUUGAUAAACUACGACAAGCAUUCCAGGCCAUUAGCAGCAGUUCAGGUGACGAAACUAGCCGACGGUGUCUUCAUCGCUCCCUGCACGAACCACGCCGUCAUGGAUGGCUCAUCGUAUUGGUCCUUCGUCAAAACCUUCGCCGAGAUCAGCAGAGGGGCCCCAAUAUCGCACCCGCCAAACUACACCCGCAACACGCCACUCGAUUCUCGGGUCGUGGUACCGUUCCCACCGGGCGUACCGACCGACGAGCACCCGCUCAGAAGCGACGGGCCUCUGAGAGAGCGGCAUUUCCAUUUCGACAGGGACGCCAUCUCGCGACUCAAACAGAGGGCCAACGAGGGAUAUUCAACGGGAGCGAAUGGUGGGAUUUCAUCCUUCCAAUCGCUUUGCGCCCUGAUCUGGCGGUCCAUCACCCGAGCUGGGCAACAGACAACGCUAUUCUGGAUGCCGGUUAAUUGCCGGCACAGAUUGAACCCGACAUUGGACCCGCACUACUUCGGCAACGCGAUCAUGGGCUCGGAGAUUUCCGCUUCCGCAGACGAUCUCCUGACCAAGGACCUGAGUUGGGGCGCCAGGUUGAUCCACGAGUCAGUGGCGACCUACGACGAUUCCGCGGUGCGACGGAAGGUGGCCGAAUGGGAACGGAAGCCGCUGGUGACCCCGUUCGACAUCGCCAGAGAACCGACGAUUUUCAUGGUGUGCUCGCCGAGGUUCCCGAUCUACGACGCGGAUUUCGGGUGGGGGCGCCCUCUGGCGGUCAGGAGCGGGCGCAACAACAAGUUCCACGGCAAGAUAUCCGCGUAUCCCGCCAGGGAGGGCGAUGGUGGUGUUGUGUUGGAGGUGGCACUAGAGCCCAACACUAUGGCACGGCUUGAGGCGGAUGAUGAGCUUGUGCAGUACUGCCGUUCUAAGGCAUAG
rnacentral:lncRNA from 1 species